rnacentral:lncRNA from 1 species
CAACAAUCUUAUUAUUUUGACAUAAAUGUUGUAUUUAAAAUAUUUAAUAGAACGUCAAUAGCAUGAAUAGUGCGCUUCAAGUUUAUAAGGUCAUGACACAUGUGUGGGUACUUUAACAUUUUUAUAUAUACUACAACCAAACAGAUACACAACAAUAAGACAUUUACAUGAAAAGCUAUUGCGAAAGAGUGUAUAUUGAAUAGUGAUUAUAGUGCUAAACUUCAUAAAGAGGUAAAAGAAUUCCGCCUUGAAAAAAAUCCAAAGACCGGUCAUAUAUAGACUUCAGUGCUUUUAUAAGUUUAAACUAGAAUGAAUACAUUUGAAUAAUAUUAAAAAAAUCAAUUAGUGUUAAGACACAAGAGCAUUUUACCUUACGCAGAAAUGCGUAAAAAAUAUUUUAAUGCUGUUUUUUGUCAAAAUAGUUUCUUUUUAAAAUGAAAUGUGCAUGCUCUUGAAAGUUUAAUAAAUUUCUGAAAAUGCAAUAUUUGAAUAUGUUAACAGGUAAAGGUGCAGAAAUUAUAACUUCAUCAAAGCGUCUAUAACAGUAUUAAAUCCAUAUCAAAAUAAGUAAUACGGGAAAAUUGGAUAGAGAGGAAAUAACCAUUUGUUAUACCACAUAAAAGUAAAAACAAUACACGUUUCCAA